rnacentral:rRNA from 1 species
GAUGAACGCUGGCGGCGUGCCUAAUACAUGCAAGUCGAGCGAACAGAUGAGGAGCUUGCUCCUCUGACGUUAGCGGCGGACGGGUGAGUAACACGUGGAUAACCUACCUAUAAGACUGGGAUAACUUCGGGAAACCGGAGCUAAUACCGGAUAAUAUAUUGAACCGCAUGGUUCAAUAGUGAAAGACGGUUUUGCUGUCACUUAUAGAUGGAUCCGCGCCGCAUUAGCUAGUUGGUAAGGUAACGGCUUACCAAGGCGACGAUGCGUAGCCGACCUGAGAGGGUGGUCGGCCACCCUGGAACUGAGACACGGUCCAGACUCCUACGGGAGGCAGCAGUAGGGAAUCUUCCGCAAUGGGCGAAAGCCUGACGGAGCAACGCCGCGUGAGUGAUGAAGGUCUUCGGAUCGUAAAACUCUGUUAUUAGGGAAGAACAAAUGUGUAAGUAACUAUGCACGUCUUGACGGUACCUAAUCAGAAAGCCACGGCUAACUACGUG